CUGAUUGCAAAUUGUAUAUAUACAAUAAUUGUGAAACGAAUCAAGCAAUUUCUCAGAUUUUAUUGACGAAGACCAGACAGAAUAUAUUAAAAGUCACCAAACGUAUGACAAUAUUAGAAGGAUGUUGCUCUUGGUAGAUAAAAUACAUCAGGGAAAAAAAGCUACAAUUUAUUAAGUCUUGAUGCAGAAAAGGCAUUUGAUAGGGUCAGGUAAACAUAACUAUCAAACUUCAGAGAGAUUUGGCUUUAACAAAAAACACCUAAAAGCUAGAGUCAAAGUGAAUGGGUCAUUAACACCAGCAUCCACACUGGAAAGUAGACUAGGCAAGGCUGCUGUCUCAGUCCAACAUUAUUUGUCAUCUAUAUUGUCCCGCUGGCCCAGGCAAUCCGACAACAUGAGCAAUUGAAAGGCAGUACAAUAAAACAUAGUGAACAUGUACUUAGUUUAUUUGCAGAUGAUGUCAUGAUCCAUUCAACAGAACCCACCCACCCAGAAUCCAAACUUUGUUCAUUCACGCACUCAGUCAUUCAUUUAACUCACCCGUUCAUUCAUCACUGACUCAUUUAUUCAUUGAUUCAAUCAGUCACCACAGCCAUGGUUAUGACUUAGGACCACAUAAAGGUGGUUUUUGGUCUUAGAGAUUCCACAUUUUGCUACAGUAUGUUAUGUUAGCAUGCCAUGUGAUUGUAGUGCUGCUCCUGCACCUUCUAAAGUUGAUCUUAUCUUACCUUUUGGCCAAAUUCUGGAUAAAAUAGAGCUAGACAGAACUGGACCACAAAGGAAAACCCCAAACGCAUAAAUGUCAUAUUUGUGCUGCAUCAUGCUAACAUACAAAGGGUUCAAAGGUCACAACACGUGUCAUAUGAAAAUGUUACCAAGACAAGUGACAACACCGAUCAGGCUGACCAUAUGUUCACAUUGCAGGGUGUGAUUGCCCAGUUCUGAUUUUUUGUUACGUAAAAUUUGAUCUUUUAUGUAGACGUUCACAUUACCAAAAAAUGUGACUUGUAAAUGUGAAAGUAUUGUGUUCGGAAAGUGACGUGCAUGCACACAAACUGUACUGUACUGUUUACAUCCAUCCAUCUUCUAUACUGCUUAUCCUCACUAGGGUUGGGGGUACGCUGGAGCCUAUCCAGGCUGACUUUGGGCGAGAGGCGGGGUACACCCUGGACUGGUCGCCAGCCAAUCAAACAACCAUUCACACUCAGAUUCAUACCUAUGGACAAUUUAGAGUCAACUUAUAGCCAAUUAACCUGCAUGUUUUUGGAAAUUGGGAGGAAACCGGAGUACCCGGAGAAAACCCACGCACGGGGAGAACAUGCAAACUCCACACAGAGGAUCUCCAACAGAGAUUCGAACCCCGAUCUUCCCGAUCUCCUGACCGUGUGGCCAACAUGCUAACCACUUUUCCACUGUGCGGCUGCCGUGCGGCUAGUUGUAUUAAUUAUUUAAAAUCAUAGAUUAAGAAAUAAUUGAGAAAAAUGGAUAUACUCGGUGUUAAGUGUAAAUUCAAAUUUCUUUCAUUAGAUGAAAAUGAAAUCCGCAUCCGGGUUUUCCGGGUUUUCCGGGUUUUCACUUACCCAGUGGCAAAAAUUAUCAGUACCAUGUCACAUACAGUACAUAAAUUCAUCAAAAUCUACUUGUUAUUUUCUUACCAACAUCUACGUAGCUUUUAAAAUACCAUGAAAAGCUUUAUUCAUUUGGAUUUUUUUUGUUCUCAAACAACAUGGCUUAAUUAGGUCUUCUGAGGAUAAGGAUUUCACUUCAAGAGCCUGUCCACCAGAGAGUGCCAUUCUUCAAGAAAAAUUACACAUCAGCUCAUUUAGCUGUAGUAGUGACCAGGAAAAGAAGAAGAGGAAGAGGAUGAACAGAAAGAACAAAAGGGAAGAAGAAGAAGAUGAAGAACAAGAAAAGGAAGAACAUAAAGACAAAGAGGAAGAAGAAGAAGGAGAGGAAGAAGAGAAAGAGGCGGCGGCACAACGUCACAGUCCAGUGAGGAGGAGAAGGAGCCAGAGAAGAAGACAGCAGGUUCCAAAGCAGGUGGUCAUCUCAUCACUGAUGAUAUCAACAACUUCAGCCAGAAGCCAGCGACCUUGAACCUCUCCGUGAUCUUUCUUUAGGUCACCCUCCCAAUGUUGGCAAUCUUUAAACCUGGAGCGACCGUGACGACAGGACGUCAGUCUGGCUACAUGUUGCCAAGCGUCACGUGACACGAUGAACAUCAUUUCCUUCCUGUCUGAUUUCAAAUUCAAGUCAUGCCAUGAUUUAGCCUGCUAAGCUAAUGUUCAACUGGGGGGCAACAAUGACUUAUUGUAACAGCAGCAGCUUUUUUUUUUUUGGAACUCUAUUUAUAGGGCAUUACUUAGGAAGUUGAUAGGUAGCAGCUAACAUAAACAUGCUACAAACCACAUGUAAACUAAGUUUUCAUAUUAGCGUGGUGAUGUCGCCACAGACAUUACCGCACAAUGUGUUUGUCCCAUAAUGACACUUUCACACAUUUUACUGCACAUUCCCAUGUUAGCCUGUGUGAAGCAGGUUGUAGACUACCCACCAGGUGACUUUGGGCUCUGGGUGUUCAGUCACCGCCACCUCCAGAUUGACUGGCACGCCACCCAUGACAGCAGCUUUUGACAGUGGCAUGGUGAAGGGAGCUAGACCAGAUUCAAAGGCUUGUUGGUGUGGAAAAAGCCUCUUCUGGGUCUGGGGAUGGGGUGCCACUGGAAGGGGGAGUCCUUGAAACUGAGGAGUAAACUUGAUCUCCUCACGGAUCGCCACAGGCUGGCAAAAAUCUUGGUCUUCCUUGGGGGUUAGUUCAUGGGAUGGUGGGAAAGGGGUGGUGACAUGUAGGCUAGCUUUCUUUGCUAACACUGUUGGCAAAGCAGUAACAGGAAGGAGGGAGGUGUUGCUGGGGGUCAUGCCAUGACCAUGCACACUCUGCUUGCUGCUGUUACAACCACUGCAUUGUGACUCUGGAGGCCAGGUGGUCGCAAAGACUUCUGGUCCAUCAUGAUAAAGCGAUCUUUCACACUCGCUGUGUGUUGCAAUGGAAUGGCCACAAAAUAUCUGAGGCUGGACUUCAGUGGUCAUGUUAUGGAGGCUUAUUUGGGACCCAAAGACUGAGAGAGGUUCCUCUCUGAUUUGCAAAGAAGAUAAAUCUUGAUCAAGACCAAUCCUAAAGUCUAAUUUGGACUCUGGACUGUCUUGGAAAAAGCUGGUGCUGAUUUGUGGAGAAGUUGCCAUGCUCCCGUGUUUGAAGUGGUCCUUCUCCUGUGGGGGCAUAACUUGAUUGUCUUGGUCACUGCUGCUAGGGGUUGACGGGCAGUUCAAGGUUUUAUUGGUGACUGUAACAUCUUCUUCUUUGCUAGAUUGCUUGCAGGGUGUUUCUUGAUCAAGAUCAAAAAUUGUGUCAUCUCUGAAGAGAUUCUGUGGGUCUGGACCAAUAUGUGGCAUGGUGCCACCUUGACAUGAAGUGAAGCUGCUUCUUGUAGAUGAUUGAAAAUUGUAGAUGGUGCUCUUGACUGUGCUCCAUUUUGAGCGUGUGUCAGGUAGCUUGAAUGGAGUUAUUUUUUUCUCAGCUUGGAAGGUAUCCAGGAGGGAUUGUGGACCACGAAUGUCCUGAGGGAAAGUCGUUGUGGUUUGAGGGAUAAUCAUGUGGAACUUGUGCAUCCCUGUGCAUUGUUGAGGGCCCCUACUCUUGUUCAGAUCAAAGUCUGGACUUUGAGAAGGUAAAGGACAACAGGUAGCAGUCUGAUUACUGGUUCCGGUUUUUAGAAAGCUUAUUUGUAUGAGCUGAGCCUUGCUGCUUGGAUUUCUCUGCUCUAGCUUACACUGACUGCAACCAUGACUUUGUGAGGAGCUCCUCCUCUCCAGGACAUCUUUGCUCUUGUAGGUUGACUUUGUAGGAGGAAUACUGGCUGUUAAUGUCUUUCCAGUCUGUGUGCUGAUUGGUUGUCUUGGAACAGGAGACAAAUGACUCUUGAGAAAUGAGUUGGACAUAAAUAUCUCUCUGGAAAAGAGACAAAAGAAUCUUAAACCUGGACGACUACAUACACAGUAUAAUACAGUAUAAUACCAGGAAGAACUUAAAGUCAAGUUUACGCUACAAGCUAGAAUCUCAUUUAUUUUAUUUGCUUGUGUUAAGUCCAAGUGGACAUCCUUAGAUUUGGACUUUUAGAUGGUUAUUUCAAAGAUCUGAGACAAGGACAACAAAAACUGCCUGCUGUUACCUUGUAUCACUGUGAAGACUAGAGGGGGCAGUGACAAAACUCUCUGCCUGACUGGAUUCUUUAUGCUGCUUGGCUGCAACAGUAGCAAGUCCAGUCCCAGGUAUCUCUGGCUGGUUCUUGUACUCGUAUUUGUUGAUGGACUGGCUGUUGUGGAUACUGGUGGAGCUGAAACAAAAAUGCUCCUCCACAUCGUCCUGAAAAAGGAUGGACUCUGGUGUCUCUGCCAGUGGUGGAAGUGAAAUAUCGUCAGACGAAGCACACUCGUACUCAUCAUCACUGGACAGAAAAACCUCUGCCACCACAUCCUGUUGCUGGAGCUCCUCCUCCAACAGGCCACCUGCCGGUUCCUUCUGCAUGAGGACUUUCAGUUAAUACAUGAACAAAAGUUGUACCAGCAGUUGUACCAGCAAGAACAGCAAUAUUCAGAUUUUUAACCUGCACUGAUGCACUCUGAGAAGUGUGCAUGGCCUGAAGCGAGGUGGAGUCAAGCUGUCCGUAGAUGACAUAGACACGGCGUCCGACCUCCACUGGUGAGCAGGACAGCCUGAAGGUGUGGGUGGAGCAGUAGGAGGACGCUCCAGGAUUCUCCUCACAUUGUGAGCGCUGCCUGUGGCAGGGCGUGAGACCAGCUGACGUUAGCAUGCAAUACUGUAUAUUUAUUCGCAUUUUCGUAUGUUGACUAAUGCUGUCAGUUAGCACCUGCUCUGUGAGUUGUCCGUCUUCAGUGAUGAGUGUUUCAGAUUUGCAUCAGUUAGCCAUGGCGCUAGCGCUUCUUUCCCAUCAUGCUGAGUGGUCACUUCGGGGGUGUGGCCUGUCUCCUCACCCUGGCAGGACACACUGAGCCACGCCCCCUCCCUGAUCUCUGACCCCAGCUGGACCUUAAGCUCCUGCAGACGCUUUCUAGAAUGACUGUGGAUCAAAGAGACAAUUUGUAGCAUGUACCACACCACUCAUGGACGCACCUUCACAGUAAGGUGGGACGAGUCGACCUGGAUCUGCUCAGCAUUCCACUUCUGCUCAAUCAUCCUGUCAUCUUCCACUUUCUGGUUGCCAAAAAAUUUGCUGAACUCUGCCUUUGACUUCACCUGCUGGAGGUCACGCAUCAGGGCGUGGUCACGUAAAGACGCCUCGAUGAGCCACGGCAUACUCUGAGUGUACAGAGAUGCCACACUGUGCUCCAGCUGCUCCAUUCGAAACUUGGUUGGAGCCUGGCAGGAAGUACAAUCCACAACAUCUUCAAAGUUUAUUUUUCAUGCGCCACCCAUGACAAACUAGCUUGCAGCUCAGCGUCAUUUACGGAAGAGACGUCAUCAGGGUGACCUCUGUCAGCUAAAGAGUAAACAAACACUUCUCACGGUAGAUGGUCAACUUGGUUCAGUUUAAGACAACAAUGGACAAAGCAAGUGCAGAGAACGAGAGACAGAUGGACUCCCACCUCGAGUUCUGUUCUUUGCAGUGAUCAUUUCACUGAUGACUGCUAUGAAGGAACAUCUUUACAAGAAGCAUUUGGCUUGAAAGUACAGUAUAAAUGCAUUUUGAAAAAGGAUGCUAUUCCGCUGUUAUUCACCAAAAAAAACAACACAACGAAGAAUGACCACUACAUCAAAGUUGGCAGAAGAAAUUGAUGGAUUUGGUGACGUGUCUCCUCGUACGCACUCGGAGUACCACAUAGAGGUCCAGCAGCGUCUGACUGGAGGAACGCCUCCAGCUGUACAAACACACGUAGCUCGGACACUUCCUCCUCCUUCAACUCCUCCUUCAGCAGCAGGUGGUUCUGGGCUGGGGUCAAGGCGUCCCAGUCUUUCAGCAGGAUCUGGACUUGAUCGUCCAGUCUCUGGGUGAGCAAGCAAAGAGGAUGAGUCAAACAGAUUCAAGACUCUUGUGAAUGUGGUGGACCAGCACUCACAGCAAAAUGUGGUCCGGCCAGUCUAAAUUGCUGCUGUAGCCUGGAGGUCUGCCCGUGGGAGCCCAGAUCCACCUGAGUGCAGGAGUCCAGCAGCUUUGAGACCUCCUUCAGGUCCCGCGCAGCCUGUAAAGGGACACACUCAUGUCCAGAAUUCCAAAAGGUCUUUGUUAGGCCUUAGGGGAGAUCUACGCUCUACAGAGUGAUAAUAUAUUUUAGUCCUAUUUGGCCUCAGUGUUGCUCUAGUUGUCCCAUUCUGGAGUGACCACACACACCUUACGGAGUCUCUCCUGGUACUUGCUGCAGAGCUUUCUGUCCUCGCCCCGCUUCCUGUUUUCAAUUUCAAGUUUACGCCGCAGGUCAGAAACUUCCUGUUGGCUUCUGCCGAGUCUCUCUGCCAUUUGCUGCACCGCCGUCGCCAUAGACUGCAGGUUCAAGCCUGAUACCGACGCCUGACUCACAAGUUAGGAUGGACAAAAUCUUAUUGGACCUCAUCUUAUUCAUUGAAAUCAUCAUGUGAAAGUUUAGAAUUAUGUGGUCCCCGUAGGGUCCUCUGGUUACCGUGGCGAUGCUACUGAUGAACUUGCUGGCCUCUUCCUGGGCUGUGAUGACCUUUUGCAUGGUUUCCCACCAGGAUGUGCCCUUCGUCAUACUAACAUCUUCCUCCUCUUUCUCGCCCUCCAGUGCACGUCUAUGGUUCUUUAUGUCUUUUUCCAGCUGAACAACAACAAGCAGAUUUUUGCUCACUGCUGUGUCACAUGCUGGCCAACAUGUGACACAUGUUGGUUGUUUUAUGUUGCUGUGCUGACCUGCUGUGCUGUCCUGAUGAAAGACACGAAGCCUCGCAACACACGCAUGUUACACUCCACAAUAUUGUUCAGGCUCUUCACCUCGUCCAGGACUGCAGAGACCCGAGCAGAUAGCUGGACCUCUGCCGCUGGCCCAGUUCUGCCUCUUUGCUUCAGCUGCACAGUCAGAGACUUCAAGCGGGACAGAUGAGAGACACGACCACCAGGCACCUCUAGUUGAGUUUUGCUGGGAGGUCCCAUGCAUGGAACUUGCAGACGCUGCAGGAGCUGCAUCACGUUGUUGGCGUCAUGACCAGCAGUCUUUGUCAGAAAGAGGAUGACAAGUGACAAGAUGAAAUACUACACUCUCAGAGAGGAGCAAAACUUGCCACUGGAUGCCCUUGUGUGUACCUCAGCCCAUGUGCGCAGCAGAAGGCUAAGCUUGUAGCUCAAUGCUAAUAAGCCCAUCACGCACCUUGAGGACAGACACGACGAGCUGCGAUUGGCCGGCCUGGACAGCAAUGGUGCUGAGAGUUGUGAAAGACUUUCCAUUGUCUGUCCUAGUCACCCCUGCAUCCUCAUGUCCUCUGCGUGUUGCCACCUCCAGUCCCUCACCACUCGUCAUGACUCUGCCUUUACAGCUAGCUUCUUGUCGACUUUGAUGCCACAUUGGCACCACUUCCCGUCGGCUGGCAUGAACACCGUCAAAGAACACCUAGCACGUUGGAGGAGCAGGUUCUAGAAAGACUUGAAGAGUCUUUUUGCCGUAUGAAUCUGCCUUCCUGAGUGUGAAACAUGAGCCUCAGCUGACCCGCUGCAGCUUAAAAUAGACAGCAUUCUUGUCACACUGAGCAUGCUUGAGAAGAACACUUGACAUGUCAACACACAAUCAACAAGAGGUCAUUUUUGUCUUUUUAUUUUUCAUGAUGUUAUCAGUGUUAAGGAUAAAACAAAAAGUUCACAAACUAUGGACAGUCAUGGCCAAAAGUUUUGAGAAUUAAACAAAUACUAAUUUUCACAAUCUGUUGCCUCAUAUUUUAUUAUUGCAAUUUCACAUACUCCAGAAUGUUAUGAAGCGUGAUAAAAUGAAUGGCAAGUCCCUCUUUGUCAUGAAAAUCCCAAUAAUCCCAAAAAAACAUUUCCACUGCAUUUCAGAUCUGCCAUAAAAGGACCAGUUGACAUCAUAGUUACGGUAUUUACUGAUUCU